rnacentral:lncRNA from 1 species
CCCGUAUGGAACGUGUAGCAUGGUCUAGUGGGAUGUGGGCCAUGUUGGAGGGUCGCAGCACCAGCCUCCUUUUAGGGCCCUAUCGCGUCGGUCAUGAUGAUUGAGGCAUUAGGCAGAAAGAGCUCACCUCAACCAGCUGUGCUGCCCUGUUCAGUGUCCCCGAGGCGCAGGCUUCCCUAAGGGCCUGCAAUCAAUUGCACUCCUCGCUGUCCUGGGAUCCGUGUGCCCGCUGUCCAGCCAGUGGACGCAUCUCUGCUCCCACGACCUCAGUCUCUCCGCACCAGCCAUCGCUUGCUACCUUCUGGGCCCCAGGCCUUGCCUGGCCUCUUACUGCACUCUCUCCCUUAGCUCUUUCAGCCAGACCGAGUUUCCAGGGCCCAUCUCUGCCCUCCCCAGCUUCCGCGGUUUGGUUUGGCUCACCUCCUGUCGCCUUGCCUCGGGCACCCACAGCAAGGCCCCUCGCUCCCAACCGGGCCUCGCCUGGCUACGUGCUCUCUGGGACCUGUGGCCCCAACACUCCCUCUCUGCCUUUCACCGCCCGCGACCCCGCUCAGAUUCAUCGACUACCCGAGGCUCUUCCGCUCCCACCUCCGCUAUCUUCGUCAGGACUCGGAUUCCUUCGCAGAGAAUCGUGCACUUCCGGCCGCCAUGACAUUGUAACCAAAUGUAUGUUCCUGUGA